rnacentral:tRNA from 1 species
GAGAGAUGGCUGAGUGGUCGAAAGCAACGGUUUGCUAAACCGUCGUCGUGGGAUAACUGCGACCGCGGGUUCGAAUCCCGCUCUCUCC